ACCUUUAAACUGGUUUUCCAUCUGCCAAUACUCGUUAGAAGAAGACGACACAGUCCUUUCAAACAAAAAUGUCUGCGGUCAUGACGGAGGUGUUGACGAGUACACACGUGGAGAAAAUGAGGAAGAAAAAGCCUCCAAAGCGCUAUUGGGAGGAAACCGAAAACACAGACCAAAGCCAAAGGAGACCAGAGGAAGAAGAAGGCAAAGCUGGGCAGAACCAGAAUGAAUCAACAGUAAAAGAAAGGCCAUUAAAAAGGAAGAAUGAUGAACGUUUGGAG